GUCCUUGUAGUUCAAUGGAUAGAACAAGUCCGUCCUAAGGACGAAAUGCAGGUUCGAUUCCUGCCGAGGACA
rnacentral:tRNA from 1 species